CUCUCUCUCCUCCUUCACGAUUUCUCACUCUCUCUGUCUCUCUCUCCUUCGAACUCACUGACCAACUUCAAAAACACCCUAAAACUUCCACCAACGUCAAGUUUGAGACCACCAUUGGAAUCCUGAGAACUUCACGAUCACGUGGGUACUAAAUUCAGGCUAAAACAAGCUCACAGUGAGCUUAAGGAAGUCCCAAGGAAGCUCGGAGUGCUUGGUUGGAAGUUUUUGGACGUAAGAAUACGGAGAUCGACAAGUUCAAAGUUUGGCCGGAGCUUUCGAGGCAUUUUCCGGCGAAUCCCCGGCGAGUUAGGAGUCGAGUUUCCGGCGACCUCUGAGGCUUUCGAGGCAGUUUCCGGCCAAACCACGGCGAACUAGGUGUUGUGCAAGGCGGCGAUCGUCAUGACGCCUUGAUGUGUGGUGCUAGGGAGUUGUUGGACGAACUCCAGGUGAGUGGGCAGUUUUGUUUUCCGUAUAUAUAUAUACUUGACGUUUCCCAUGCAUAUGAGUUAUGUGGAAAAACGGGAAGUGAAAUACCAUGCAUAGAAUUGAUAUGAAAAGUAUAUAGAAAUGUGAGUUGAAAUGCCAUGCAUGAAUUAAUAUAUGAUGCAUAUGUAUGAAUUAGUGCGGUGGACGCACAUGUAAGAAUUGAUUUAUGAUGCAUAUGUAUGAAAUGGUGCGGUGGACGCACAGGUGAGUAUUUAUUUCUGUUAUGAUGAUGUUGAUGUAUAUUGAGCUCAAAUCCUGCACCAUAGUUUAGUGCUUAUAGUAUUCACCGCAUCGCACGCUCGCCUUGGAUCCAAGUAGAUGCUAGUCGUACAGUCCACGCGGAGUGGGUACGACAGACCAGUCCCGAGAAUGUUAGUGAGAUUCCGACUGGUGGGUGACCUUAGAUUAUGUGCACAGAUGAUUUAUGAGAAGCACUAGAGCGUAACUUGUGUGCAGAAGGCCGGACAGGUCACAGAGGUGACUCCGGCAGAGUGAGAGUGAUAGAUUUUGAGCUCUAGGUUCAACCGUACAGGGCCAUUAGUAGAGGGCCUCCGGUUGAUUACUUUCUUGCACCUGAUAUGAUUAUUGUUGAUGCAUCCAUACUUAACUGUUGAAUUAGACAUGGCAUGGCAUAUUUGUAAAGAAAAAUGUAGUUGAGAUAGUAAAAAUGAAGUUUUGAGAAUAUAUAUGUAUAUUUAUAUUUUACAUUUCUGGGAAAGUAUACAGGUUUUACGGAGAGGGGUUACAACGUUUUGAGAAAUGUUUGGAUUUGGAAAAGAAUUGUUUUACUGACCCACUCAAUUUUGGUUUUGCGCCCCUCCAGGUUCAGGAAUCACAAAGGUGUGGUGACUACGAGGAAUUCGACGGUGUUCUGACAGAUUGGACAAAAUUAGGACUCACCUUCGGGUGUAUCAACUUAAAUUGUAUCUUAAAGCUUCCGUACUGUGCAAAUGGUUACGUCACUCUCACGUGACGGCCAGCAUGCCCUCCUUCGGAACGGGGUGUGUCAAAACAUGUCUUUUUUUUUUUUUAUAUAAUAGGUUAUAAUAAUUUUAUGAAUUUUUAAGAUGAAACAUAGAUAAACACGAGAACUAAAUUAAUCAAAAAACUACAACACAUGAACCAUUUUAACAUUUAUGCAAAUAUAUAAUUUUCACGUGCUAAUUAUGAGAAAUUUGUGUAUGACCGCAGCAUACAACCUCCCUCGUAUUCUCACAUUAAAAUUUACCCUACAUUGUAUCACAUUAAAUUUGAUUAUUAAUAAUUAAUUCGAAUCAAUAAAUAUAUAUAUUUUUUUCAUUUG
rnacentral:lncRNA from 1 species